CUCAAUCCACACACACUUAUUCAGCGCACAGUCUCUGAGAAAGCAGUGGAGAGAAAGAGAUGGCCAGAGAUAUCUUUGUCUUUGGUGGAAGAAAUGAAGAUCAAAUCAUCAGCAGCAUCUGGUUCAGAUGGGGUGCAGGUCAUCAUGGUGGCGGUGGAGGAGGAUGUGGAGGAGGCGGUGGAGCAUGUGGUGGUGGAGGUCGAACCUAGUUAAUAAUUUGCUCUUACGUUUAUACUUACAUAGGUUAAUCUUCUGUCUUAGAUUUUGUUUCCUUUGAUUUGUUGUAUUGCUUUGUGCUGGUGACUACUAACUAGUUAGUUAAUUCUGACUCAUGGAUGAUUAUUUCUCAUGUGUAUAUAUCUUUAUUAUUAGCCUGAUUCUUAAUAUAAGAGCUGAUUUAAAUUUUA